AAAUACGUUUUCUUGUUUGCAGAUCACUGUCAGUCUAUCAUUUUUCUCAUCCAAGUCCAAAAUCAUUAGGAAUGGUAAUGGAGGCACCACCAUCUCCCCAAAGCGUUGGCAGAGAGUUCGUUCGGCAGUAUUACACCUUGCUGAAUCGGGACCCAAGCCAUCAGCAUAGGUUCUUCAAUCAUCUAUCUUCGUUUAUCCAUGGAGGACUGGAGCCCAAUCGGGAGACUAACCCAAUCAUCGGGCAGAAGCAGAUUCACCUAAAGAUUCAACAGCUUCACUUUAGAGAUUGCCA
rnacentral:lncRNA from 1 species